UUUGUUACAAUUUUUUUUUAGAACAGGAUUCUAUAUUUUGCGUUCGAAUCGUUGUUUUUUGAAAUAGAAAUCGAUAUUUGAGAAAACGAUUUUGAAAUUGAAAUCGAUGUUUUUUAUUAAAAAGAAAUUAAAUUACAGAAUCGUUAAACAUUCGAAGUUUGAAUAAGGAAAAAAAUAUCUUUUAAUCAACACUCGUCUGAAAGCGAGUCUUCUGAAUCAGAAUCAGAAAUAUCUGAUCCGAAUGCAGACGGUAUUGUGGACUUUGAAGUAGAAGCCAUCUGCGUCAUGUCGAGUCCAGAAGUCUUCAAAGUCUUAUUCAGUUUCUUCAUAUAUGAUUUCAUAGCAUUAAACUUCUUCUUGUAUUUGGAGACGUCUUUUUGACUCUCGUUACACUUGUUCUGAAAAUGAAAACAAAAAUGAGUUCGGUAAUCAACAAAAUUAUUGAAAUAUAUUGUAAAUACCUCCAAUGCUUUGAAUUUUUC
rnacentral:lncRNA from 1 species